GACGAACGCUGGCGGCGUGCUUAACACAUGCAAGUCGAACGGAAAAGCCCUGCUUUUGUGUGGUGCUAGCGUCGCGCACGGGUGUGUAACCCGUGAGUAACCUUCCCUUGACUUUGGGAUAACUUCAGGCAACUGGUGAUAAUACCGGAUACGAGCUCCUGCUGCAUGGUGGGGGUUGGAACGUUUAGGCGGGUUGGGAUGGACUUCCGGCUAAUCAGCUUGUUGGUGGGGUAGCGGCUUACCAAGGCUUUGACAGCUAGUCGGCCUGGGAGGUUGACCAGCCACAAUGGGACUGAGGGACGGCGCAGACGGCUACGGGGGGCAGCAGGGGGGAAUAUGGUACAAUGGGCGGAAGCCUGAGGCAGCAACGCCGCGUGCGGGAUGACGGCCUUGUGGGUGUAAACCGCUGUCGCCUGUGACGAAGCGUGAGUGACGUUAAUGGGUAAAGAAGCACCGGCUAACUACGUG
rnacentral:rRNA from 1 species